rnacentral:lncRNA from 1 species
GACUCAUGAAGCUCUCUUUUGGAAACAUAUCUAUUGACCUUAAUAUUUUCAAUCUAGAUAAUGAAAUGGACCAAUCCAUGAAUGUGAACUUGAUCCAAGAUAAUAUUUAUGAGCCCAUUGAUAUCAGUGAUGAAGAUUUUGACUUCAAUCUUUGGUUAGAUCAAGAAUCUGAAAAUGUCUAUGAAGUUUGCACAACUAGUGACUAGAGGACUCAACCAAGAUGGGAACCACUAGUCGAACCACUCAUGAUAAUGGUUAAACCAUUAUCCAAGCUAUCAAUUGAGGAAGC